rnacentral:lncRNA from 1 species
UGGGUCUGAGUCUGUCUCUAUGGGAGACAUGUGCAUGAUCCAUGGGUAUGGUGUGUGUUUGUGUGUGACCUGUGCUCCUCCGUGUUUCCUGCUGUGUGUGUGCACCUGUUCCCUCAACCACUGUCUAGUGUGGCCAGGCGCUAGCCAGCUACCAGACAGACAUUAGAGAACGUGGUUCUUGAUGCAGUCUGGUGAGCAGGAAGCAGUAAAGAGAAAUUGCACCUGUUACAGGGCAGUCGUGACGGUGACGUGGAGACCCAUGCUUUGAGGGCGGAGCACAGGGAGCCAGAGCCCCAAGACAAGGCACUGAGAUGACUUGACACUCAGGUAUCCUGGAUGCUCCGAGAAAAUGGCUGGAAAGCUCUGUGCCCUUAGAUGCAUGAGCAUGGCCAGAGUGUGCCAAGAAAUGCAGGAGCCACCAUGGGGCACAGAGGAACCGGAGGAGGGCAAGUGGCGGUUGCUGAGGAGCCGACAGGUGUGGGAAGGUGGGAGUAGACAUAUGUCACUGGAGGCCACAGCAGCAAGGACAGGCAGAUCCCGAGAGCUAUAGGAGGAUGCCAUGAUCGUGUGGCCAUCUGAUAGGAACUCUCUAUCUGCUAAGAGGAAAACGGGCUGCAGGGGCCCAGGACAAGACCAGAGCAGCCACCCAGCGAGGAGCAACAGCGGCCCAGAACUUGAGAAAGCAUGGGGAGACAUAGAUCGGAACAUGGGAGAGCAGUGGCAGGAUGAGGUACACAGCUUGGCGCUGGUGGGACCUGUGUGCCGCUGUGCGGGUGUGUACACGGCUUCCAAGCGUGUGCGCAUGGCUGUGCACGUGCCUGCAAGGGGCUUAGGCCGGCCCUCUGUCCCCCACCCCGUGCUCUUCAACCUCAGGCCCCGUCUCCCACAGCCUCACCACGGACGUGACAGUGACGAACAGGAAAGAUGGCACCAGAGAUAUGUCCUCACCCUGCCCAGGAGGGCCUGGCCUGCUCCAACGACCACACGCCGGUUCCCCACAUCAUACGGGGCCUGCUUACCACAUCACACGGGUGUGUGUGGCUGGCACGUGCAUGUGGCCUGCGCUGGGGACAAACAGCAAGAGGCCUCGAGAGCAGGUAGGUGGUGAUGGGCGCUAGCUCAUGGGCUCAGACGAGGCUCUGUGUGCAGCUGGGAGCAUGGAAUCUGGUGGCCUUUAGGUCUAAUGAGAGUCAACUUUCCUCCAAA